GUAGGGAAUAUUGGGCAAUGGUCGGAAGACUGACCCAGCUAUGCCGCGUGCAGGAAGACGGCCCUCUGGGUUGUAAACUGCUUUUAUCUGGGAAGAAAAAGGCCAUGCGUGGCAAAUUGCCGGUACCAGAUGAAUAAGCACCGGCUAACUCCGUGCCAGCAGCCGCGGUAAUACGGAGGGUGCGAGCGUUGUCCGGAUUUAUUGGGUUUAAAGGGUGCGUAGGCGGCUGAUUAAGUCAGCGGUGAAAGACUUCGGCUUAACCGGAGCAGUGCCGUUGAUACUGGUUGGCUUGAGUGUCGGAGGGGUACAUGGAAUUGAUGGUGUAGCGGUGAAAUGCAUAGAUACCAUCAGGAACACCGAUAGCGAAGGCAUUGUACUGGCCGACAACUGACGCUGAUGCACGAAAGUGUGGGGAUCGAACAGGAUUAGAUACCCUAGUAGUCC
rnacentral:rRNA from 1 species